rnacentral:rRNA from 1 species
UACGUAGGGUCCAAGCGCUAUCCGGAAUUACUGGGCGUAAAGCGUACGUAGGCGGAUGUUUAAGUGCAACACGAAAUCUGACGGCUCAACCGUACAGACUGUGCUGCAUACUGGAUGUCUAGAGAAUGGCAGAGGCAAGUGGAAUUACUGAAGUAGGGGUAAUAUCCGUAGAUAUCAGUAGGAACACCAAUGGCGAAGGCAGCUUGCUGGGCCAUUUCUGACGCUAAGGUACGAAAGCGUGGGGAGCGAACAGG